GGCGCCGGCUUGGUAUGCGCCGGGCUGCGGCAGCGCGGCAAGGCGGGCGCGGCCCCCGGCAUCGCCGCGCCGUGGUAGGCGCCUCCGGGGGCGGGCUGUGGCCCGGCUCGGGGAGCGGAGCCUGCCGGUACUCGUGCGGCCCUGCGGGGCUGUCCGUCUCCGGGUCGCUCCUUUGCAGCUCUUCCCGCUUCGGCUUUUCCUUCGUGUUCGCGCAGCGCUCUGUUGGCGGGGCUGGCGGACAAAGGGCGGUGUGGGAGCGGGGUUGUCGGGCUGAGCCUGGCGGGGCAGCUGCCUGAUGUGCGCCCGUCUGAGUCCUGUGCCGGGGAGAGCUGGGGAGAAAGGCGAGGCUUUGUGCUUUGGAGCCCCGUCCUGCGGCCUCGCUGGGCGGUGAGGGGCCCGUCCUGUGCUGGGGAGGGCGUGGGAGAGCACAGGGAGACCAGCGGCAGGGAGAGCUGCAGGUUGGCAUAACGGCCCUGCGGGUUUAACUGAAACGAGGGGUGAAACGCCACUCUUAGUUCUUCAGUGAAGUGCUACAGCACAUAACGUUGGAUUUCUUUCAUAUAGCUUGUUAUAAGAACAUACGUUGUAUAAUCAAUGAGUAUAUAGACGUAAAAUCAGUGACAAUACAGAGAAGAAUACUGGGCUUACCAAAAAAAAGACUCCACGAGGAGCCAUCUCCAGGGAGAGACCCCUCCCCAGCGGCAGUCAGCCCUGGAAUGGGCUCUAGCAGAGGUGCAGCCUGGCUGCAGCCCUUCCACUCACACAGCUCAACUGCCUUCACCUGUGCUCCCACGGCUGACUCAGCGCUCGCCUCAGGUGGUCAAUCAGAGGUUCAGGCCGUGAUUCAACAGUUCCUGUACAUACAUCCACUGAAAAACGUGGAGUUUAUGCAGAUAAAAGCCACAUGCGUUGUGGUAACUGCCUUUUUACUUGUGUAUCUACAGGGAGCAGCACGCCAGCACUGUUUCCUAGAACCUGUCGCUUACUGUGCAGGUGAGCUCAGUGUAACUGUGUCUGUAGUUUCUCAUAAUCGGUUGUGACUGUGGCCCUUUAGAUGUGCUCUCCAAAAGAAGCACUGCUAGAAGUGUGACGGCUUCCAAAUGUGGGAGCAUUUCUGCAGGUGUCCUGCUCUUGUCUUUUAACAAGUCUGUUCAACAGUAGGCCUAAGUUCCCUUCUGCUACCAAAAUCCAGGAAUGAAACUUGACGAUGUGAAUGACAGAUUAGGAAGCAGAUAUUACUUUAUUGCAGUGCUUGGUGCAUGAGGGAUUGCCCCUCACCAUCUGAAAGCACACAGAUUUUGUAUACUUUAAUACACAAAUAUUCAUAGGGUUUCCUCAGAGUGCCCACCUAGUCCCAGAAUUGCUAUACAUAUUAAAAUCUGGUGCUAUGCAUACACCGUGUUAGUGUGGUUGUCUUGCAAGGGGGUCUGUGGUGGUUGUGAGGUUCCACUGGGAGGUGCUAUCCAGGUGAAGGGUUGUGUGUUAUGUAGGCCAGGUCCUGUACUUGGUCAAGAACCUAUUUACAAAACCAUGACCGUUGACUUAGUUUCUAAUGAGCACAUCAAUCUUGUUAUAGUGCUUGUAUCAUCAGCCCUACAGUGUACCUCCUCAAGGCUGGUGAAAUGCUGAGGCUCUACUUUUAGGCUCCAGAAGUCCUGCUUAUCUAGGACAGAGAGUCUUCUCUAGACAAAAUACCAGUCGGCUGAAGAGUUUGAACUCAUUGCUAAAGGCUCUGAACUUAUUGCCAGGUAUGAAUAUGAGGAUUUAUAGGGUUUUUGCAAGAUGGGAUCGCACAAAGAUCGCAAGCUAUCAUUUGUGACUGCAGCAAGACUGUACUGCUGCAGUGGUAUUCUUUGAGGGGAACCUGAAAUCUGCUGAUAGAAUUGGUUUCUCUGCCACUAGUUUUCAUUAAAGCCAAAUGUAUCUGUGAAGUUAAUUCAUUAUCUCAUAGUAAAGAACAGCUCACACAUGUAAGCUGAAUUUGUUUUGUGAAAUGCACAGAUUAUUUUGCUUACAGGGUUUUAAAAUAUACUGUCUCCAGGCUGAACAAAUGCCUAGUUUCACUGGGCCCAGGUGAGAACAUCUGAUUAGGAGUUCUCAUCUAAAUAAGGUAUGAAAUUCCCAACCAGCUCUCCAGUGAGGGCUGAAUACAUGUGAAGAGAGCAGCAAAAUGUGUGUACCUCCAUCGAAUCUCUGUAGGUAAGCAUUAUCUUGACACUUUCAGCUGGUUUUCAGAGGUGUAUUAAGAACAGCUUAAAGAUACAAAGCACAUUUUCACAUUCUUGUUUGAAAGAUGGACACAGAAGUAUUAUGCAGGUGGUAUUUGAACCACAUCCCUUGGCUUCUAACCUUCACUGUCUUUUUGGUCGAGCCUCAGUUAUAAUUUUACUAAGAAAUAUAUUGAAUAUGCUCGAAUUGAUGUUAACUUCCAUUGUCACCAAAGGAGGGCAUUUAAAACCGUGAAUACUAUCACAGGAAGACGGAGCUGUUGAUUUGUAAUGGUGAUUUUGCUUUAAUAUGCACUUCUGCCACGUUGAAGUUCUCUAAGUUUAAUCGCUGUGUGAUAAGAAGAGGCAGCUUGUAGACAGGAUAUUAAACCUUGAUUUCUAUCAUACCAAACAAUUGCUGUAUCUUCACCACUUCUUAAAACUGACAUCCUUUCCUUUCAGGUUGACGUGUCCUACUGUAUUAUUUAAGACUUGAUUAUUGCAGUUGAAAUUGGGUUGUUUUUUUUUAGUGCAAAACUAUGUACUUUAAUGGCUGUAUUUCAUCCAUCUUCACUGUGAAUCUGAAUCUAACUUGAUGUCUCACAAACUGCCCAGUUGAUGCUUUCCUGGCCAGGUUUCCAUGUGAACAGAGUGAGCACACAGCUAUGUAAUGUGUCACCAAUCCAAUUGCAGGCAGCACAGUGCUUGGGAAAAGCUUUACCUGGUGUUCAUCAUGAGUAGGAGUCGUCCCCACCUGUGAAGCCUGGGUUCCUGAUGGAGAAGUUGCUGAUCCUCCUCACCUGUGUCAUCCAAGUGGUUUAGAGGAAUCAUGCCAUCGGACACAGAUCAGUAAUGCUUGUUGCUUGAUCCAACUGCUGUAUAGCUGAUGAAUUCAUGGAUUUAAGACAAAUAAUCCGUAUUUCAUUACUAGCAAGUGCUAGAAAUAAAAAUGUACUCUGCACUAUUGCUUGGAAAAACAAAUCCUGAAGUCGUAAGAGAGGAUUAAAGUUGAAAAAAAAUCUCUCAAGAGAAAAACGAAGGGAGUAAUGACAUCUGCUUAGCAGCAUCCAGCCCCUCAGCCUGCAGCACGGACCUCUGGAGCCCUUACACACGGAAUAAAAGGGGAUGCAGUGAGUGAGGAGCAGCAGAACUGCAAGCAGAGCAGCGCUACUGGUGUAAGAUGGCAUUAGGAAGAGUGGAGUUUUGUUAAUGGGUCAUGGAAAGUAGGUUCUACCUCUCAUAAUGCUAACUGUCUUAUUUUUGUUUCAUUUCCUUCCCAGGGUGGUGUUCUACCAUGGCGGUAAACAAAGCCAUCGGUUGCAGACUUCUGCACCAAUUCAGGUGGCUCCAUUGCAGGUGUAAGGUUGGAGGUGUGAGGUUUCUCAGCAGUGGGACGUUACCACCUAGCUGUGAGCUGGCUUCGCUCUGGUGGGUGUCCUGCUGUUGUUCCCCCACAGUGAGCUGUGUUCUGGUUCUGUUGGAAGGCUGCCCGGUCCUUCUGCCGGGUUUAUAUUCCACUGAAACGCGUGGCUAUUCAAGUGACCAACCUUUUGGAGUGUCUCGUUUGGCUUUGCCUUAAAUGUUUGCUGCUCCUACCCCUUCCCCCCUUCCUACAGAGGCCUUUUUAUAGGUGGCCUGUAGUGCCAUAAAGUUUUUGCUUAGAGUUGAGCAUUUUCCUAAGCUUAUGGGGUUAACCACGAUUAUGGGAGAGUUCUUGAAGCAUUUUUGAAUGUAAUGCUUUUAUUUAAUGUUUGUAAGCAAGUUCAAAGGUGUCAGAUACAAAUGUCCCAGUAUGGCACAAGGACGAGACGUGGCAUUGGGGAUUGGGCUGUUCUGUUGCUAGUGCACACAAAUGUGGCAAUGAACUUUUUCCCUCGUGCUUUAGAGCAUUAAAACAGCUGUUUUGGAUCAGAGCAAAGUGGGCAGCAGCUGUGGCAGUGAUCUGCCUGUGAUUAGUGGGCUCAGGCACUCGUGGAGUCACAGAUGGGCUUUGUGCUCUUAAGGGCACUGUGCUUUUAGGGCUCCCGCUUUUGCACCAGUGUACUUCUUAAAGUGCUAAAAGUUUUCCCAGCUGGAAGUCCUCACAGCAUCACACAGCAAAGAGCUCUGGGUUUCAGCAUCCACACAAAGGCAUCGCGCAGUCCGCCUGUGUUCCAAUGGGCACAAACAGCACUGAUUGCGUAUUAAAGCCAUUGUCACCAUCACAACCUGGGAGGAGAGCAGAGUGCCAGGACGCUGCAGGACCCCAAAGAUUAUGUCUUAUAAAUAAACAGCUCAAAUUUG